GCUGGGAUCUAGCUCAGUGGUAGAGUAUUAACCUAAUGCAUGAGGCGCUGGGUUCAAUCCCCAUCACAGCA
rnacentral:tRNA from 1 species